GUUGGGAUAGUUCAGUCAGUAGAACACAAGACUUUUAUUUUCAUGGUCGUGGGUUCAAGCCUCACAUUGAGCA